UACGUAGGUGGCAAGCGUUGUCCGGAAUUAUUGGGCGUAAAGCGCGCGCAGGCGGUCCUUUAAGUCUGAUGUGAAAGCCCACGGCUCAACCGUGGAGGGUCAUUGGAAACUGGGGGACUUGAGUACAGAAGAGAAGAGUGGAAUUCCACGUGUAGCGGUGAAAUGCGUAGAGAUGUGGAGGAACACCAGUGGCGAAGGCGACUCUGUGGUCUGUAACUGACGCCGAGGCGCGAAAGCGUGGGGAGCAAACAGG
rnacentral:rRNA from 1 species